rnacentral:rRNA from 1 species
ACGGAAGGCAGCAGUGGGGAAUAUUGGUCAAUGGGCGGAAGCCUGAACCAGCCAUGUCGCGUGCAGGACUACGGCCCUACGGGUCUUAAACUGCUUUUGCAAGGGGAUAAAGUGGGGCACGCGUGCCCCUUUGCAGGUACCUUGCGAAUAAGGAUCGGCUAACUCCGUGCCAGCAGCCGCGGUAAUACGGAGGAUCCGAGCGUUAUCCGGAUUUAUUGGGUUUAAAGGGUGCGUAGGCGGGCUGUUAAGUCAGCGGUGAAACCCCCGGGCUCAACCCGGGGACUGCCAUUGAAACUGGCGGCCUUGAGUACGUUGGGAGUGCGCGGAAUGUGUGGUGUAGCGGUGAAAUGCAUAGAUAUCACACAGAACACCGAUUGCGAAGGCAGCCCACUGGGACGCGACUGACGCUGAGGCACGAAAGUGCGGGGAUCGAACAGGAUUAGAUACCCUGGUA